rnacentral:misc_RNA from 1 species
GUCAAGGGUCAAUUCUCUUUGCUGCCUAUUGCAGAGAGAUCCUGGAUCAGUAAGGAAUUUGCAGUCUAAGAGUUGCAUCGAUCUUGAAGUAGAUGAUGACAGGAGCAUAGGUGAAACUAAAUCCAUCAACACAGCAGCCUGCCUGGGUAAAUUUGUGAAGGGUUUCCAGGGCCCGAAGUUUAGUCCAAUAGUGUUUCCAGCUGCA